GACGAACGCUGGCGGCGUGCUUAACACAUGCAAGUCGAACGGAAAGGCCUGCUUUCCCUUGUGGGUUGCGGGUACUCGAGUGGCGAACGGGUGAGUAACACGUGAGUGAUCUGCCCCCAACUUGGGUAUAAGCCUGGGAAACUGGGUCUAAUUCCCGAUAGGACUGCAGGGUGGUGCCUGUGGUGGAAAACGAUUUUCUAGUGGUUGGGGAUGAGCUCGCGGCCUAUCAGCUUGUUGCUGGGGUAAUGGCCUACCAGGGCGGCGACAGGUAGCCGGCCUGGGAGGGUGGACGUGCGCAUUGGGACGGCGAUACGGCCCAGAAUCCUACGGGAGGCAGCAGUCGGGAAUAAUGCACAAGGGGCGGUGGCCUGAUGGAGGAACGCCGCGUGGGGAAUGCCGGCCUUCGGGUUGUAAACUCCUUGCGACCGCGAGGAAGCCACCUGGUUGGAAGGGUGGUGACGGUAGUGGUAGAAGAAGCACCGGCUAACUACGUG
rnacentral:rRNA from 1 species